rnacentral:lncRNA from 1 species
CGGUGCCGUACGCCCCCCCCAGGCCGUAGCCGUAAUCCCAGGCGAGCGUGGAAGCGACGCAGGCGAAGAUGGCGAUGCACAGCACGAGGACCCCCGCCUGCAGCCCCCGCACCGCGCCGGGCGGCGACGUCCACUUGUAGAAGAGCUGCGGAGCGUCGUCCACGUAGUAGGAGCCCGGCGGCGGAGACCCGUAGCCGUAAUCAGCCGUGGGGGCGCCGUACCCCGUGGGGGCGCCGUACCCCGCGGGGGGGCCGUCGUAGGACUUCUUGCUGAACAUGGUGGCCCUCCGCCGCUUUGUUCACCUUAAAAUGGCAGCCGGGAGCGCUGCGGGACGGGACCGGCCCCGGUUUCCGCCUCCGGGGGGAGCCCCGAGGGCGGCCCCGCCGCCACCGUCCGCCCCCACCGCGGGGAGGGGGAGCGGAGGCUGCGGGCGGCGGUCCGCGUUGUGCGCGGGGGGUCGGGGCAGUUCGUUUUGGGGGCCGGGGCUCGGCGCGGCACAGCCCCCCCCGGGUGACAUCGGCGGACAGGAGCGUCC